AUGUGGACGGACCCUUCUUCCCACGGCCUCCCACCUUUACAGUCCUCACUGCUCUCCGGCUCAUUCGGCCCGGAGUCCUGUCACUUCUAUAGCAACUGUGCUCCUCACAUCUCAGGGUGGAUCACCGGGGACAAGCCUCUUCCCAUGCACAUCUCUACUGGGUCAGGGCCACCUCCUCCGGGAGGCCUCUUUGAUUGCCUCAGCCUCCAGCAGCUUCUUCCUUACAUGUCCCUGACAUUCCGAGGGUAAGUCUUUCUACGGGUUAGGGGGAGGGCCCUUUCUCCCCACCUCUGAGCCCCUCAAGGCAGGGCCUAUAUCUAGUCAUCUUUAUGUCCCUGUUGCCAACAUGGGAACUGGCAUCUGUAUGUGUAAAGAGCUGAGGGCCUGGCUCCAGGGAAGGGCAUCCAUCUGAAUUGGGUCAAGUCUCUGCUCUGGCUCUUCCGGGCUGCGUGACCCUGAGCCAGCAGCACCGGGUUCCCAAUGGUACCACCCACGAGGACGUUCGACCUCCCUCCUCUAAGAGUCUGCAUUUCUGUGGUGCUGAGGCUGGAGACAAACAUCCUCUGAUAGAGGCAUAGAUAGUCCCUUUCGACACCGACGGUAAGGAGGCUGGGGGUGGUUACCAGGUCAUUGGCAAUUAAACUCAGAGGGUUCCCGACCCAGGGAGAGAGUUGGUGUCAGGUGUAGACAGACCCACAGGAACUUAGACUUCCUUAACCUCUUCGGGCUGCUUUGGGUCACUAGAGAAGAUUAAAUAGGGGGACGCUUAAUUCACAUGCACAGUACAGUUAGGAACUCGGUGAUUUGGGGAGUUGUGUCUGGGUCCCCUUCCUGUCUCGUGUCUCCUUG
rnacentral:lncRNA from 1 species